rnacentral:misc_RNA from 1 species
CUUUCAUGCACCAAGCCAGCGGAGUGCUCGCAAGUCCUAUAUAGCCGUUGCCGCUGUUCGACGCACGUCCCCUCACACUCAAAGCCAGAUCCUCUGGCAGUCGAAAACUGAGCGGUAAAGCGCACCGAGCUACACGCCGCCGUGCCCGUGUGUCGACACCUUUUUUUUUUAUACGUUGGCAUCCCUUUUCUUCUUGCACAGGUUCUUCCGAAGGAGACAUGUUCUCUGCAAAGUACUACGACGAUCCGUUCGACGACGACGACAAUGAUAUCUGCUACGCCGAAAUUGUGUCGGACGGUGGCGCCGCUGCCGACGCUGCUGACGCUCGGCCACGCUGCACCUUCGCUCCUUCAACGGUUGCCUUCACUUCGGCGUUGCGUCGCACAAGCGAAACAGCGAAGAGUGGGUGCGGCGCCAGUACGGAGAUACCCCUCUCUACAGUGUACGGAUCGCGGAGCGGCAGCGGCCAAGCGGAAAAUCUGGAGUACGAGGCGCAUAUUGAGCAGCUCCGCGCUGAACUGAAGGCAUCCAACGCAGAAAACAACCGGCUGACGGCCCUUCAGAGCAAACUGGAGUCACGCGUGCGCAGUUUAUCUUUUGGGAAAGAGAAUGCCGAGCGCCAGCUGCAACAAGAGAAGGAACGCAACCGCGUCUUGGCGGACAAGGUGUCAGCGUUAGAGGAGGAGCUGGAGCUGAUGAUGGCACGUGCCAGCUCUGCCGCGCACCACCGCGGUGCCACGCCCCUCGAGACGAGCAGUGUUCACGACUCCAGAAGUCCUGAAGGGCCGCGCCCCGCAGCACCGCGAACACAGCGACGCGACCCUAAUACCUCUAUUGGGCAGUUUAUGGCAUCCGGCACGCCGUUGGAGCUUUCGCGCAGCCUCGAGCUGAGCCGGUCAACGGCACGACACGCGCCGUCAGUGGACAGCAGCCGUAGCUUCCACGCCCUGGAGCAGUUACACCACGCGCAAGCAGCUUACGCUGCGUCUCGCGGCGGGCCGCAUGAGCGGCAGGGUGGAUCGAUGAUGACAGCAGCGUUGCCCCCUACAGGGCUCACAAGCAAUGAGCCACAGGGCGCGGUGCCGCCACCUUCUAGCCGGCAGACGCUGCGCAGUCAGCGGGGGGCCACCGCAGUGCACGAAACUAUCACAGCCCAGGAGCAGACUCGGAGCCAGCAGGCGGCCGCAGUGCGGCAGCUGGAGGCGCAGCUACUCCAUCACUCGCAGCAGCGUGACGAACUGACGAAGCAGCUCGAGCGUCUCGAGCGCAUACGCACCCGCACGGUGGCGGACCGCAAAAAGAAGGCGGUGGUCGAACGUCAGCUCGAGGAGGAAGAAAAGUUCAUUGGCCAAAUCCGCCUCGAGCUGCGCUCGUACUCAGCGCUAAUGCGCUAGCAGCCUGUAGGGCACGACCUUGCCUGAAGCACCACAACACCGCGAGCGCCAUUGCCAAUGAACAAGGGCAGCGGGUGUUUGUUGUGUAGCUUGGCGCGCCCGACCCCCCCAGCCGCACGGUUGUUGAUGUUAAUGGAGCUUCCCAUAUCACCGCCCUGACCCACGUUCCCCCAGCGAAAGAAACAGAU